ensembl:lncRNA
GGAAGAAAUUCCCUCUACCAGCAGUCGUCUUCGGCCCUCCUCCACAAAUCGGCCCAGCAGCUCCACCGAACGGCGACGCAGCGCAAGAAUCCAGAACAGAGGCGGCAGCAGGCCAAGCUAUGGACCACAAACCUCCUGGCAUGUACCAAAAUAUCUGCUGAGGGCAUCAAAGCCUCCAGUCCCAACUGAUAAAGCUCAUAAUCAGAGUGAAAGCAGCCAUACUUCAGUCAGUAAGUAAACAACUCUCAGUGCUGUGGUGCUGUGAUGCUGAGAUGCUGAGAUGCUGAGAUGCGAAGACUCACAUUUUCACAUUUGCUUGUAUAACGCAUGUGAAUGUAUGUUUCAGAGAUAAAGAGAAGAAAGAAGGGGAGGAGGAAACGUGCAGCCUAAACUCUGCAUUGCUGACAAGUGAAAGAAGAAAAGUCGCUCCGUCUCACCUGAUCAGAAUCAGCUUUUAGUACAGUAAUGAGGUCGUGUAAAAUUCAUACUAUGAAUACUGUAUUUGUGACCCCUCGUAAUUUUCCAAGUACAAGAAAUAACCACAUGAAUGCUUCAAGACCAUAUCCGCUUUAUACCCUCUCUAAGUGUCACAAUUUAAUGUUCAAAUCUGUAUAAUUUAUCUCUAGCUCUACGACAAACUCUGAGUAGCUGGAUCAUGGGAUAUGUCAUAGUUUAAAUAGCAAAACUGCACCAGUCUAUGAUCUAGAGCAGGGGUGGGCAAUUCAUUUUCCCAAAUUGCCACGUAGAAAACUCGGAUUUUUGUGGAGGGUUGCACCAAUGAGCUGAAAUCAAUUCUGCUCAAUAUUAAUUUCAUCUUUUUAUAAACUGCUACAAGUAAAGAGUAGAUGUUACAGUUAGGUCCUAAUUGUGCUCCCUUGAAGAAAUGAAUUGAUACCUCACAUGUGAAGAAACAAAAACAAGCACUAGAAUCCUGUUUGAAGCUAUUAUCUUCUUCAGUCAUGGGUUACCACAAAUGCAGCUUGACGCUGUGAAAUAAAGAAAGAGCCUCAGUCGUAACAUUACAUCGAUCAGACAGCUUUAGGUCCUGAAGACGUUUCUCAAAAUCUAGAAGAGUCUGGAUCCAGAGUGUGGAUAUCGCCAUUAAAGACCCAGGUGCUACAAGUGACCACAAGGUGGCAGCAUUGUAUUUGCUGAGAUACAGUUCAAGCGCAAGAGGCUACAGUUUUGGUACAGCCCAGGCGGUUCAACUUUCAGGGAAGCUGUUUUCUAUACAGUUUUUUAAAACCACCAAACUUUCAAUAAAUGUUUUUCAUUA